UGCUGCUAUCCAAAUCUGAAUCCAUGAAUGCUCAGCCAUGAGUCCAGCUGGGAAUGAGUUGGGACAGAUGGAGGGAAAAGCAAGGAGAGGUGCCUGAAUGGAGCUCAUCUGAAUCAGCCUGUCACUUAGAGUGACUCUGAGGGGUUGGCUCUUGUAUGCUAGAAAAAUCUCUGAACUUUGUAUUGUUUGUGAAAUGGAAUCUGGACCUCUUCAGAAGGCUUGAGUACAGGUGGGCAAGCAGAGGGCCUCCAUCUCAAAGGCAGAAAAACAUGAUCCAGGAUUUAAGACGGCAAAAGAUCACAUAACUCAGGUGUUCAGCACCAAUGCCCAAAGAGGACAAUGAGCCAGCCACCCACAUCUGGUACAACUUACCAUCCAAUUUCAGGUAAG